rnacentral:tRNA from 1 species
UAUAUGUUAGUGUAUUUACGCACAAGAAGUUUUGAUCUUCUUAGAGUUGGAUAACAUCCAUCACAUAUAA